AUACGGGGGGAGCAAGCGUUGUCCGGAAUCAUUGGGCGUAAAGGGCACGUAGGCGGUUUCUUAAGUCGAAUGUGAAAUCUCACGGCUCAACCGUGAAACUGCGUUCGAAACUAAGUGACUUGAGUUUGGGAGAGGUGUACGGAAUUCCUGGUGUAGCGGUGGAAUGCGUAGAUAUCAGGAAGAACACCAAUGGCGAAGGCAGUACACUGGCCUGAAACUGACGCUGAGGUGCGAAAGCGUGGGGAGCAAACAGGAUUAGAUACCCCGGUAGUCC
rnacentral:rRNA from 1 species